rnacentral:tRNA from 1 species
CGAUCCGCCGGAUCGAGGCGGAGGUCGCCGCGCUGCGGUCGCUGCUCGACGCGAGCGGCGGUUCGAAGCCGGUCCGGAGCGA